GCCUGAAUACAUAUGUAAAUAUAUACAUAUCAACAUAUGCACCUGCUCAUUCGUAAUGAGAAGGUCGGGUGUUCGAUUCAUCUCUCCGGCACCA
rnacentral:tRNA from 1 species